rnacentral:tRNA from 1 species
UCUUAGAUGACUGAGGGAUAAGUGUUAGAUUUUUAAUCUAAAAACGGCUGAUUAUAUGCCUCUAAGAA